AAAUAGAGGAUUUGCUGAGAAAUAGAGAAUCUGUGGAUUGACUAAAAAUGGAGGAUCUUUAGAUGGUGAUUUAUUGAAAAAUAAAGAUUGAUAAGUUAGUAACAAGAGUCAUCAAGGCUUCUACACAUGGCAAUAACGGUCAUAUUAGAGGCGGAAGAGAUAGCGGUCAUAGAUUAGGUGAUUGCUAUCUCUGAUAUCAUAUUAAAAUAUUUAUAGAAAAAAAUAAGAGAGAG
rnacentral:lncRNA from 1 species